rnacentral:rRNA from 1 species
UACAGAGGGGGCAAGCGUUUGUUCGGAAUUACUGGGCGUAAAGGGCUCGUAGGCGGCCAACUAAGUCCGACGUGAAAUCCCCAGGCUUAACCUGGGAACUGCGUCGGAUACUGGAUGGCUUGAAUUCGGGAGAGGGAUGCAGAAUUCCAGGUGUAGCGGUGAAAUGCGUAGACAUCUGGAGGAAUACCGGUGGCGAAGGCGGCAUCCUGGACCGACAUUGACGCUGAGGAGCGAAAGCUAGGGGAGCAAACGGG